UACGAAGGAUGCAAGCGUUAUCCGGAUUCAUUGGGUUUAAAGGGCGCGUAGGCGGACUUAUAAGUCAGUGGUGAAAUCUCUGGGCUUAACUCAGAAACUGCCAUUGAUACUGUAGGUCUAGAGUACAUUUGCUGUGGGCGGAAUAUGACAUGUAGUGGUGAAAUACUUAGAUAUGUCAUAGAACACCGAUUGCGAAGGCAGCUCACAAAAAUGUAACUGACGCUGAGGCUCGAAAGUGCGGGGAUCAAACAGG
rnacentral:rRNA from 1 species